AUAAGAAAGUGUUGUAUAUAUUAUUAAAUUAUUUAAGUCAUCAUUUAUAUUGUCAAUAUCUUACAGCAGACAUAUUUUUUCCAUUUCUCACAUGUGAUUCAUUUUAUUUGCCAACUCAUAUAUUAUCUUAACUUUUUUUAUAAAAAACAUUAAACUUUACGUUUCUCUUUGUUCCAUUCGUACGAAUAUACAGAAAUAAAAGAAGAAAAAAAAAAUAAAUAAUAGUACUAAAUAAAUGAAUUUAUGAGCACGAAAAAUUGAUGAUCAAUUGAACGGUUCCCGCUACCAGGUACCAGAAAAGAACCUUCGGCUGAUGUUGUCAUAGAUGUCACAUUGAUUGAAAUAACUUUUAAUAUGAAGGAUAAAUCUGGUGGAACAUAAACUUAAAUAUACGGUAGAAAAAUUCAACGGCUUACGGAACAAGGAUGAGGUGGAAUUACCGUAGAAUGAGUCACACAUGACUUGGAAUGCAACCCGUCGUACCUAAAGUACCUGCGAUACGGAAGAAAUCCAAUCAAUACCGAAAAUAAAAAAAUAUUGAUAUCAAUACCCAGAAAAAAUUGGGUUUGAAAUUAUAUCCCGGAACCUGGGUGUCAAACUGGGAAUUUUGAAAUUACAAAAUAAAUUUUAUAAAAUGUGUCAUAAAUUUUUCAAGUUUCAGUUACGGUUUUCAAGUUCAAAUAUUUAUUUUUUAUGAUACUGAAAUUAGCCGACGUCUAAUAAUUUUUGGAUUUUUUUUUAGACGGUAAAUUAUAAAAAAAAAAAAUUUGAAAAAAUUGCACCUGUAGUUUUUAUGAUACUGAAGU